GAGGGCGCGGUGUGGGUGGGUGGAUGUCAAGGGCAGCCCAGCUAGAGCUUGGCUCGCCACUGCAAGACAGAUCUCAGCAAUAAAUAAACAAAUAAAAACAAAAUAGUCACGAUAUCAGUCCUCUUCUAGAGCAUGGAAUGGCCAAAAAGGAACCUCAAAUCCUGGAUAGUCCCGGGGCAGGCAGUCUGGAAAGUAGAGGGAGCUGUCCGCUUUUACCCCCCCAGCAAACUGCAGCGGCAGCUGCUGGCCUCUUUCUCACUCCUGACUGUAUGGGAUGGGAUGGGGGGUGUAAGGAAGAGGAAGGAAGGAAGGAAGAGAACCUCAGACUGGGUUCUGGGGAUGGCUCUUUGGUGGGAUCUCACCAUAAACUGUCUUCUUUGGGAAAUGCACUUCUGCUUACUUUCUUUCCGGACAUGCUGGCCAGGUUGAUUCGCUUCGUGGAGGUGAGAAGCUGGAGUCAGCGGCCCUCGGUUCCACUCUCUCUCACCUCCUCGGCUCCCAGCCCCAGCCCCAGACCAUGCGCUCCACUUCGAAUACGAAUUUGGGGGUUCGCGGCUUCUCUCUUCGCUGCUGCUGUCCUCGCCAAAGAAAUACAGACAACUCCCGGGAUCCCGCAGUAGUCCUGAAGCUGGGCGCGGCGCCCAGUUCCGAGAAAUCUAAGCUUGGAGUUCCUCCUUUUCCCUCUCUCGCGCAGCCUUGUCGGGGACUUGCAACAACUAACUUCACCCAAGUUUCCCCUCCACCUCUGCGCCGGCGCCGCCAAAGAAGCUUGACUCUCGAUAGCUCUACUCCGUGCGUGUUUGUGUGAGUGUGUGCGCGUCUGGGUUGUACCUAUUCCUGGUCCUCACGGCCCGCUGGAACAAACUGAAAAGAUUUCAGGAUGCUCCCAAUCAGGUUUGUUGGUGUGAAAAAUACCUGCUAAAACAGUGAGUGAUCUUGGCAACAAUUUCUUCAGCAAACCAGCUUGGGCUGAAAAUAGGCAUCCUAUGCUCACGAUUCCCGGUGAAGUGGCAUUAAGAUACCAGCAAAUAUAAUUAUACAGAUUAAGAUAUUAGACAUACUGUUUAUAAUUCCUGGCUUUUUAUUCAGUUUAACUUAUUUAAAGUAAGUCUGAG
rnacentral:lncRNA from 1 species